CUUAAAGGAAUUGACGGGGCCGCACAAGCGGUGGAGUAUGUGGUUUAAUUCGAUGCAACGCGAAGAACCUUACCUGGUCUUGACAUCCCGGAGACCCUUAGGAAACUAGGGGGUGCUUCCAUCUGGAAGAAUCUGGAGACAGGUGCUGCAUGGCUGUCGUCAGCUCGUGUCGUGAGAUGUUGGGUUAAGUCCCGCAACGAGCGCAACCCUUGCCUUUAGUUGCCAGCAGUUCGGCUGGGCACUCUAAAGGGACUGCCGGUGUUAAACCGGAGGAAGGUGGGGAUGACGUCAAGUCCUCAUGGCCUUUAUGACCAGGGCUACACACGUACUACAAUGGCCGAUACAAAGGGCAGCGACACUGCGAGGUGAAGCCAAUCCCGUAAAAUCGGUCUCAGUCCGGAUUGGAGUCUGCAACUCGACUCCAUGAAGUUGGAAUCGCUAGUAAUCGUGGAUCAGCAUGCCACGGUGAAUACGUUCCCGGGCCUU
rnacentral:rRNA from 1 species